UUGAGGCCGUCAUUUCCACUCAGCGGACAGUCGGAUGGCAACCUUCGCUUACUCACAUUUGUUUUAAUUUACUGCCGUGGUAAUGGUUGUUAUAAGGCAGCCGUUGGCACUAAAGCCUCCUCAUUAAUUAAAAGAGCAUCAUGGGUUGUGAGAGGCUCAGAGGCAGAUGUUAAGUUGCUCAGGGUUGUCAAACUCUCGAGUACGGAGGGGAAUCGUGUGUUUAUCUGUCUGGAAUAACCUCAAGACAUGGAUAUUUCGUUUACAGCUGAAGACCACCGUCACAGAGAAUGAGAGCGCUCUCUAGUGGUCGCAACUAACUACAGCAACACCUCAGCGCUUUUGACAAGGGCUUGACUGGACUGAUUACGCGGUCACCCCACCCCGAACCCUUUCCUUCCCAUGAUGCCUCGGGCUACGACGCCACACCCCGCGACAGCGCUCCCCCCUCCUGAGUGGGACGAGCCCUGUGCAGGUGGGACAGUUUGAUUCAUGGCUCGGCUGACAGGUCAAAUUGCCGGUGUGGAUCUCUGGCACGGAAUGAGAAGAAACUGAGCUGGUUUGGUCCCGAGGCGAUGGAUGGGGGGAGGAGAGCGUGCUGGUGGGAAGCAACCCACUGCGGCUUUCUAUUCUUUCUGAUUUAUGCCUCCUCUGAUGUGCAAAAAACAAAUGAAGAAGCGUCAUAAAUGCUCUUUCUCUCUCCGUAUAUGUAUUGGCUGUUUAGCUUCAAAGUUUGUAGAGUUACCAGCCUUCCUUUCUCAGAUACGCUUUGUUGUGUAAAUCUACCUUUAGGUUCUUCGGUGAGAAAACGAGUGGGAAAAAAAUGCAAUGUGCUGUAUAUACAGAAAAGCAUAAAGCGUAUGAACUUCGCUCUCUUGUUAUGGAAAUGAGAUUUGACUGAACUGAAAAGGAAGUGAAAAACUAUAUCCUGGUCACGUGUGAAAACUGGUUUGAGAUACCUGGACUGAGUAAUCAAAAAUAUUUGGAGGAUGUAAAUUCAAAAAAAGCCCCCAUGAAAUCAGAAUUGGAGUUUUGUGGUUUGUAGUGCAUUGAUAUGCUAGACCAGCGGUUCUCAACUGCUUUUGCUUUAGGACACAGAUGUCAAGUUAUCAAAACAUCCUGAAAUGCAAACAUUAAAAAUGUAAUAAAACUGAACUGCACUUGGUUUUUUUAAAUGCCACAACUACUGUGCAUCUGAAUGUUGUCAAAUGCUCAUGAUAGCAUAUUAGUUCUAU